rnacentral:rRNA from 1 species
UACGAAGGGUGCAAGCGUUACUCGGAAUUACUGGGCGUAAAGCGUGCGUAGGUGGUUCGUUAAGUCUGCCGUGAAAGCCCCGGGCUCAACCUGGGAAUUGCGGUGGAUACUGGCGGACUAGAGUGCGGUAGAGGGUGGUGGAAUUCCCGGUGUAGCAGUGAAAUGCGUAGAUAUCGGGAGGAACAUCUGUGGCGAAGGCGACACCCUGGACCAGCACUGACACUGAGGCACGAAAGCGUGGGGAGCAAACAGG